GACGAACGCUGGCGGCGUGCCUAAUACAUGCAAGUCGAGCGGAAGUUGAAGAGCUUGCUCUUCAACUUUAGCGGCGGACGGGUGAGUAACGCGUGGGCAACCUGCCCUGCAGAUCGGGAUAACUCCGGGAAACCGGUGCUAAUACCGAAUAGUUUUCGCCACCUCCUGGUGGCGUACGGAAAGACGGUUUCGGCUGUCACUGCAGGAUGGGCCCGCGGCGCAUUAGCUAGUUGGUGGGGUAACGGCCCACCAAGGCGACGAUGCGUAGCCGACCUGAGAGGGUGAUCGGCCACACUGGGACUGAGACACGGCCCAGACUCCUACGGGAGGCAGCAGUAGGGAAUCUUCCGCAAUGGACGAAAGUCUGACGGAGCAACGCCGCGUGAGUGACGAAGGUUUUCGGAUCGUAAAACUCUGUUGUGAGGGAAGAACAAGUACCACUUAACUACUGGUACCUUGACGGUACCUCACCAGAAAGCCACGGCUAACUACGUGCCAGCCGCCGCAGUAA
rnacentral:rRNA from 1 species